rnacentral:lncRNA from 10 species
CUGCUCCACCUUCACCUUCUGCCCUGAUUGGAAGUUUCUUGAGGUUUUCACCAGAAGCAGAUGGUGAUUCUAUCAUUCACCUUCUCUAUUCUUUACUGAAUGACUUUGGAGUAAAAGACCUUCACCAGUCAACUUGGUUAGAAAUUCUGAGGGUAUCUCAGAUUUUUUUUUUCUUUAUAAUGGAUGCACCUACUCCACUCCUCUUAUUUCGUCUUAGGGAGAAGUCUUAGAAUCACGUACCUUCUCUGUAUUACAAGAAGCUAUACCUGAUGCUGAGUUUUUAUUUUAUUUUAUUUAGGACAGUACCAUAAAAUAUUCAGUGUUGUGUGCUUUCUCCCAAUCAAGCUGAAUCAAGACGGCUGCAAAAUUCUGCACCUGUUGUUAAUAUCCAUAUGCUAUCGAUGGGAUAUUCCAUAUACCAUCUGUGGAAUACACAGGGUGUCUUAACAGGGAAAGCACAGGUGGCAUGCAGGGUGCUGUGGGUGCUUGUUAGCUUACAGAGGGGUCUGCAGGUGAGUUGUUUCGUAGGGUUUAUGGGCAGACCUUUGGUGAAACCCACAAGCUGCUUAGCAAGAACCACAGCCAGCUGUUGAGAUGUAUGUGCAGGUUGCUGUGAGUUCCUACCCCUAACUCAUUCCAGAUAAUUCAGCUGUGCUGAUUUCCUUAUUGAUCUGAGUGAGAUGAGACAGAAGUAGCCUCUAAGCAGCAUCUUUCAAGACUGGAAAAGCUGAGUGGUCAUUUUUCUCUCACUUUCCCCUACAGGAGAAUUUGCAGGCUAAGGAAGGCAUAUUUCAGCACUAAGUUGCCCCACCCUGGAAAUGGGGUGACAUAAAGUAAAAUUGCUCUUUACCAUAUCUCAUGAGUUCAUUAUCAGACUUUUUUCUCCACUGGGGUGCUGACAUUUCACAGCUGAACUAUAUAUUACUCAAAAAGUUAUACUUGUCUUUGGGUAGUUUCCAAAAUCAGUGUUUUUAUGGGCUGAUGAGGGCUGGAACGUCCUAUAACACAAUAUUGCCGAC